GUUCCUGGACCCUAGAGAACUGUUCCUUCAGAUGGGUUAUUCCCUUUGAAACACUCACAGCCAGGCUCCACACAGAACCUAGAGUUAUCCAUUCUCAGCUGAGGCGGACAGACCCUGAGGAUGAUUUUUUCACCAAGUUGCCCAAAACUGAGUUUCAACUGAAAUUUCGCCAAUGAGAAGGAUCACCAUCUGCAGAGACACUCUGUCUUUGGCAUGGGGCAGGUAGAUAAAUUCUUGUUGAGAAAUCCGAUCCCACCUCAGUCAGCUGUGGUCAGUACUCAUUGGUUUCUGCCCCAACGCUGACAGUUGGAAUACACUGUCUCUCAGUGAGCACCUUCUACACAGAUGUACAGCAAUGAAACAAAAUAUAACUACUCCAAGAAGUUCUAAUUACACAGAAGGCCAGAGAAAAUCACAGGAAGAUAUGCUCCUGGGAUAUUCACAACCAUAACAGAGAUAAAAGAUCUCAUAUUGUGGUUGCAUCAGGUGAACUAAAUGAACACAUUUUAGAGGAAGAUUGUGUGAAAAAAAAAGCCACAUCAUUGAACAGAAAUCAACUUUACAGGAAAAAAUAUUUG
rnacentral:lncRNA from 1 species